GGAAGGAAUGCGGUGAAACCGGACUUUCUAGAAACUAAUUAUUUAUGCGAAAGAAGUAGUGAACGAAAUGCAGUGCAGGGCGAUAAACCAUAGUAAUAAUUAUAAACAUUGUAUUUUCGUUUGCAUAUCCGUGUUUUAAUAACACUGCGAGCGGAUCAGAGUUGCACAGGAAAAGUUGCAGAGGGCACCCUGGUCCAACAGAGCCGAUAAGAUGUUCGAUUAUACUAAUGAUUAAUUAUUAAUGAUUUGUGAGUAUAUUCAGGACGGAGCUGUCAGUGACACACCCCUUUAGUCAAACACAAGACACAAAAAGACACAAACAACAUGACUGUGACCGUUAUCAAAGUUAAACAAAACAACUGCAGAGAAAGGAGACGAUAGGGUACAAAUAAAGCUCAUACAUAACCCUCUAUAACUACAAAUAGUCUUAGUUAGUGAAUGCUAAAAUAAGUUUGACGAAAUAAGUUGUAAAAUCUCACAGGUUAGCGAUGCCUGCCUUCCUCACAGCGGUGGAGAUUGCUUUCACCGCGGUGCAGAUGGAGUUAAGCAGGGUGGUGAGCUCCCCGGUGCCCUGCGCCUUCCUCCCCUCCUCCAGGACGAACCGGGUCAGGGUCACCACGUUGGUGUCGAAGGCCCCCUUGUCGGACAUAUCGAUGCUGCUGCUGGUAAACCUUGGUGACUGGGAGAACUGGCCCUGGCUUUGCGUCAAGUAAGGGAGACGAAGUUCAGCGCUCACGCUAUAAUGGAACAGCGGUGCAAAGGUUGAGGAAGAGCAGGCAGGGGUGUGCGUUGAUUUGGGCCAAUCGCGGCCAGGCGUCCUCCUGGGGACAGGGAUAACUUCGGACGACGACAUUAGUAUUCUAUUGGUGGAUCUGGCUGGGUCUCAGGACAGUGAACACCGUAAGAAAUGGACCAGGUAAUUUGUAUGGACAACUCUUGUUUUAUUUUACAUUGCUCUAGUUGUUAGUAUAAGUAUCCAAUGUCUUGCACCGUAUUUACAAUUUUGACAACUUCAUGGUUUGAAACCCUCAGGAUCCCUGGUCCCCAUAUAAAAACCCUUUAUUUAUAUUUUCCCUUUUUUGCUCAUUUUUCAUUCACUGCUUGACAUACUUUGAGGUCUGUGGUUGAGAAGAAAUGCCAAGAAUAUGGCUUGGCAUUUAGAGGAAGACUUGCACUGUAAUUAUAGAGUGGGUCCAGUCUUAGCUUAAGACACAUACCAUGGGGAGGAAGUGUCAGUCCUGGAUGAUUCUAAAGUGCAGGUCCACACUAUUUGUGAACCUUUUCCUGUCCCUCCUCCACGACUGAGAGGCACUAGCUGGAGACUUCAGUCAAAACACUACAAGAGUUCAGCUGGGAGAGACAGAAUAUAACUGUUUUUGACUCACUCAGAGCAUGUCAGAGAGGAGUUUAAACUACUGAGGUACCAGGAAAUCUGGCUUUACCAAGAGUGUGCUUACCAGUCUCAGAGGAGCCUGUGGUUGCUAGCUCAACCCCAGAUACUUCAAGUGUGAUUUCCACAACGGCAUCAAAAUUAGGCGACUAAGCUUCAAAAGAAGGCCCAGAGUGGCAGCCAACCAUGUGGAACCACUGC